UCCUACGGGAGGCAGCAGUAAGGAAUAUUGGGCAAUGGACGGAAGUCUGACCCAGCCAUCCCGCGUGCAGGAAGAAUGCCCUAUGGGUUGUAAACUGCUUUUGUUUGGGAAGAAAUGUACUUUUUUAAGAGUAUUUGACGGUACCAGACGAAUAAGCACCGGCUAACUCCGUGCCAGCAGCCGCGGUAAUACGGAGGGUGCAAGCGUUAUCCGGAAUCACUGGGUUUAAAGGGUGCGUAGGCGGCCAGAUAAGUCAGAGGUGAAAGUUUCCGGCUCAACCGGGAGAUUGCCUUUGAUACUGUUUGGCUUGAAUCAGAUUGAGGUUGGCGGAAUGUGACAUGUAGCGGUGAAAUGCAUAGAUAUGUCAUAGAACAUCGAUUGCGAAGGCAGCUGGCUGGAUCUGUAUUGACGCUGAGGCACGAAAGCGUGGGGAGCAAACAGGAUUAGAUACCCUUGUAGUC
rnacentral:rRNA from 1 species